rnacentral:tRNA from 1 species
GUCUGUAGCUCAGUGGUAGAGCACUCACCUAGCAUGUAUGAGUUCCUGAGUUCAAUCCCCAACACGACA